rnacentral:rRNA from 1 species
UACGUAGGUGGCAAGCGUUGUCCGGAUUUAUUGGGUUUAAAGGGUGCGUAGGCGGCCCUGUAAGUCAGUGGUGAAAUACUCUAGCUUAACUAGAGGGGUGCCAAUGAUACUGCAGGGCUUGAGUACAGAUGAGGUAGGCGGAAUUGACGGUGUAGCGGUGAAAUGCAUAGAUAUCGUCAAGAACACCGAUAGCGAAGGCAACUUACUGGGCUGUAACUGACGCUGAUGCACGAAAGUGUGGGGAUCAAACAGG